rnacentral:rRNA from 1 species
AGUGAACGCUGGCGGUAGGCCUAACACAUGCAAGUCGAACGGCAGCACAGUAAGAGCUUGCUAUUACGGGUGGCGAGUGGCGGACGGGUGAGGAAUACAUCGGAAUCUACUUUUUCGUGGGGGAUAACGUAGGGAAACUUACGCUAAUACCGCAUACUACCUACGGGUGAAAGCAGAGGAACUUUGGACCUUGCGCGAUUGAAUGAGCCGAUGUCGGAUUAGCUAGUUGGCGGGGUAAAGGCCCACCAAGGCGACGAUCCGUAGCUGGUCUGAGAGGACGACAAGGCAAAAGGGGACAGAGACACGGCACAGACGCCUACGGGAGGCAGCAGUGGGGAAUGGUGGACAAUGGGCGGAAGCCUGAUCCAGCAAUGCCGCGGGAGGGAAGAAGGCCUGCGGGUUGUAAAGCGCGUGUGGCAGGAACGAAACGGUGUCCGCUAAGACCCGGCGCUAAUGACGGGACCGGCAGAAUAAGCACCGGCGAACUACGUG